rnacentral:lncRNA from 1 species
AUACACUGUUACAUAAAAAUUAACUGUUCAGAGCACAACUUCCCAAUAUUCAAAACAGAAUAAGCUUCCCUGUAAAAGCAGCACCUUGUGACAUUGUUAAUUUUAGUAUUCCUCUCCUUCUUCUACACCCUUUCCUUCAACAGAAUCCACACCAACCUCCUCAUAAUCCUUCUCGAGGGCAGCCAUGUCCUCACGGGCCUCAGAAAACUCUCCUUCCUCCAUGCCCUCACCCACAUACCAGUGAACAAAGGCAUGCUUGGCAUAUAUUAGGUCAAACUUCUGGUCCAGGGGAGUCCAGGCCUCAGCAAGGGCUGUGGUGUUGUUCAGCAUGUGCACAACUCACUUUACUUUGGCCAGGUCUCUAUCAGGUACCACAGUGGGCGGCUGGUAAUUAAUGCCAACUUGGAAGUCAAUGGGUCACCAGUCCACAAACUGGGUGGUACUCUUGGUCUUGAUAGUGGCAAUGUCAGCAUUGACAUCUUUGGGAACCACAUCACCACAGUACCACAGGCAGCGAGCCACGUAUUUACCAUAGCAAGGGUCAUGUUUCACCAUUUGGUUGGCUGGCUCAAAGCAUGCCUUGGUGGUGGUGAUCUCUGCUACAGAAAGCUGUUCAUGGUAGGCUUUCUCAGUCAAGAUGACAGGGGCAUAUGUGGCCAGAGGGAAGUAGAUG